rnacentral:lncRNA from 1 species
GCCCUGGCUGGUCUCGAACUCCUGGACUCAAGCCAUCUUCCCACUUUGGCCUCCUUGUUUCCUUUCUAAAACUGCUUCUGUAUGGUAGUUCAUUCAAUUUUUAAAUACAUCAAGCUCAAAAGAAAAUACUGUAGGGCCGUGUUAACAUUCAUGUAGGCUGGAAACAAAUGUAGCUCAGAACCAGAUUUUUGAAACUGAGGAUGAGAAAGAUUGAAAAGGUAGAUGGGAGAACAGGAAACACAUGAAGAGUUAUACACGUGUGCGCAGAGAGGUGAGAACUGAGAAGGAGAAUGAAUUGGAGAGAAAACCUUCAUUAGACUCAGAGAGGGAAGCAGUGGCAGUAUACCAAGGUCACUUCUAAUUUAGACCAUCUAAUUGGCAAACAGGCUCCAAAUGGCUAUCAUCUCACAGGGCUUGGAAUUAAUGAAGGCUGAUUAUUUUCAUUACCUUCCUCUUAAGAUACAGGCAAAGUGAGAGAGCUGGUACCCAGGUGGGUGCAACCGCCCCCAGGCCAGUGGCUGCCCUAGAGCCCCAGAUAACCAGCCUGUCCUAGAGAUUCACAGACACACAUGAAGCAUAGAGAGUCACAGACGCUGACGGAAAAAAAUCACAAGGUUACAAACUAUUGGUCUCAAAAGAGAUACCGAGAAAAGUGCAGGCAACACAGGGCCAGGAGCAUGGAAGGGAAACUGUGCAGGUACAAAAAAUACAGAAUAAUUAAGAACUACCAAAGGGAGCCAAGACAAAGGGCUACAGAAGGUGUUCCUAAGCUGCCCAGGAGCCAAUCCCAUCUCCAUUAUGAGGUCAUAUUUUGUUAAAUGAUGAAAGAACAAAGAGAAUUUCCCCAUAUCAGUGCUUCAGGAUCCCAGUGGUGUGUCCUGUCACUUAGAAAGAUAGUGAUCAAUUAGAAUAAUUUAAGAGUAUUGAAAUGCAUGGUAGGUGGUCUUUCCUAUUCUCAUUCAGGGGACAGAAACAUGGGCCCCAUGCCUUCCACCCUUCUUUCCUGAAAGAAUGGGAAAAUAAGGGCACCGAGCAGCAGCUCCUACAUCUCUUUCACCAAUUUGAAAUCUCAAGCUUCUUUGUAAAUAGGUGAGAGUUCUUAUGUGUAACUGACAUUGGGGGAGGGCUGCCCAGCCAGUUGUGGAGGGGCCCUUGUCUCAUCUCCCUUAAGCUUUAUAGAUUUCCUUCUUUGAUAUGACGUGUGCAGAGGUACUCUUUGCAGCUCUGUUUCCAAUAGGCCAAGAAGAAUGAAGUGCUGUGGGUGUGGUCUCCAUAGUGGAGGGCCAGCACUGCAAUUGUUCCUAGUGGAGAAUAUUUCUCAAGCCCCCUCAUCAGUAAGAAGGGGGCCCAUGGAAGACAUAGAUAUGAGAUGCAGAGCAUAAGCAAGCAGCUGUUACCAUAGCAACAGACAUAUUAGACACUGCAGGUUCCUGAAAGCUGUCUGAUAAGGCUCCCAUGGUUCUAGGCCAUCAGAUGGGAAGUACAAUGAGGCCUGUUACUUCCAAGGAUGAUGAGAAAGCUGAGGAAACCAGUAACACAGAAACCCACUGGUCCACAGAAGGAGGUUUUCACUUACAGAGAAUCUUUACACACUGUUCACCAGCUGAUUUGAAAAUACCCACAGAAAGUUAAUUUAACUUCAAAGAUCUCUGAAAGGCAACUCAUGGCUAGGUCACCUUUGAGCUUCCCAUUGGCUGCUAAAGUUCUCUUGAUGCAUCAUCAAUUAUAUAUUCUUCAUGACUAAACAUCACUUACAACGUUAUUCAUUAACGUUUGCAGAACCAAAUGGAAUAGAAAAUGCCUGGAGGUGAUAUGUCUGUGACCUGCACAUUAUAACGUGCAGUUGUGAACAGACUACCUCUCUGGGAAUCUUCACGUGAAAAGGCAAUCAAAUUAACUUAUUACUCCACUGCUAAAAUAAUGCUAAGAAAGAGCUGUUUUUGGUCGCUUCGAAGAGAGGGGAGACUCUGAGCUACCUGGGAAGGAGAUGCGUUUGGAGGUUGCAGGAGAAUCUGUC